UACGGAGGGGACUAGCGUUGUUCGGAAUUACUGGGCGUAAAGCGCACGUAGGCGGAUUUGUAAGUCAGGGGUGAAAUCCCGGGGCUCAACCUCGGAACUGCCUUUGAUACUGCAAAUCUUGAGUCCGGAAGAGGUGAGUGGAAUUCCUAGUGUAGAGGUGAAAUUCGUAGAUAUUAGGAAGAACACCAGUGGCGAAGGCGGCUCACUGGUCCGGUACUGACGCUGAGGUGCGAAAGCGUGGGGAGCAAACAGG
rnacentral:rRNA from 1 species